AUUGAACGCUGGCGGCAUGCCUUACACAUGCAAGUCGAACGGUAACAGGUCUUCGGAUGCUGACGAGUGGCGAACGGGUGAGUAAUACAUCGGAACGUGCCCGAUCGUGGGGGAUAACGGAGCGAAAGCUUUGCUAAUACCGCAUACGAUCUACGGAUGAAAGCAGGGGACCGCAAGGCCUUGCGCGGACGGAGCGGCCGAUGGCAGAUUAGGUAGUUGGUGGGAUAAAAGCUUACCAAGCCGACGAUCUGUAGCUGGUCUGAGAGGACGACCAGCCACACUGGGACUGAGACACGGCCCAGACUCCUACGGGAGGCAGCAGUGGGGAAUUUUGGACAAUGGGCGAAAGCCUGAUCCAGCCAUGCCGCGUGCAGGAUGAAGGCCUUCGGGUUGUAAACUGCUUUUGUACGGAACGAAAAGACUCUUUCUAAUAAAGAGGGUCCAUGACGGUGCCGUAAGAAUAAGCACCGGCUAACUACGUG
rnacentral:rRNA from 1 species